rnacentral:rRNA from 1 species
UACGGGGGGGGCAAGCGUUGUUCGGAAUUACUGGGCGUAAAGGGCGCGUAGGCGGCCUUCUAAGUCGGACGUGAAAUCCCUCGGCUCAACCGAGGAACUGCGUCCGAUACUGAAAGGCUUGAAUCCGGGAGAGGGAUGUGGAAUUCCAGGUGUAGCGGUGAAAUGCGUAGAUAUCUGGAGGAACACCGGUGGCGAAGGCGGCAUCCUGGACCGGCAUUGACGCUGAGGAGCGAAAGCGUGGGGAGCGAACAGG